rnacentral:rRNA from 1 species
UUAGGGUUUGAUUCUGGAGAGGAGCCCGAGAAACGGCUACCACAUCCAAGGAAGGCGCGAAGCGUAAAUUAGCCAAUCGACACGGGGGAGGUAGUGACAAUAAAUAACAAUACCGGGCUCUUUGGUAAUUGGAAUGAGUACAAUCUAAAUCCCUUAACGAGGAUCCAUUGGAAAGCAAGUCUGGUGCCGAAGCGCGGUAAUUUUAGCUCCAAUAAGCGUAUAUUUAAGCUGUUGCAGUUAAAAAGCUUUGUAGUUGAACCUUGGGAUGGGUCGCCCGUUCCACCUUCGGUGAGCACCGGUCGGCUUGUCUCUUCUUUCGGUGGUAUGCUCCUGGCCUUAAGUGGCUGGGUCGUGUGCCUCGGUGCUGAAUUAGAGUGCUCAAAGCAAGCCCUACGCUCUGUAUACAUUAGCAUGGGAUAACAUCAUAGGAUUUUGAUCCUAUUGUGUUGACGCCGGGAUCGGAGUAAUGAUUAACAGGGACAGUCGGGGGCAUUCUUAUUUCAUAGUCGAGUUGAAAUUCUUGGAUUUAUGAAAGGCGAACAACUGCGAAAAGCAUUUGCCAAGGAUGUUUUCAUUAAUCAAGAACGAAAGUUGGGGGCUCGAGGACGAUCAGAUACCGUCCUAGUCUCAACCAUAAACGAUGCCGACCAGGGAUCAGCGGAUAAUGCUUUUAGGACACCGCUGGCACCUUAUGAGAAAUCAAAGUUUUUGGGUUCCAGGGGGAGUAUGGUCGCAAGGCUGAAACAUAAAGGAAUUGACAGAAGGGCACCACCAGGAGUGGAGCCUGCGGCUUAAUUUGACUCAACACGGGGAAACUUACCAGGUCCAAACAUAGUAAGGAUUGACAGACUGAGAGCUCUUUCUUGAUUCUAUGGGUGGUGGUGCAUGGCCGUUCUUAGUUGGUGGAGCGAUUUGUCUGGUUAAUUCUGUUAACGAACGAGACCUCAGCCUGCUAACUAGCUACGUGGAGGCAUCCCUUCACGGAGACUAUGGCCAUUUAGGCCAAGGAAGCUUGAGGCAAUAACAGGUCUGUGAUUCCCUUAGAUAUUCUGGGCCGCACGCGUACUACACUGAUGUAAUUAUCGAGUUCACACCUUGACGGACAGGCCCGGGUAAUCUUUGAAAUUUCAUCGUGAUGGGGAUAGAUCAUUGCAAUUGUUGGUCUUCAACGAGGAAUUCCUAGCAAUUCAUCAGCUCCCAUUAACUACGUCCCUGCCCUUUGUACACACCGCCCGUCGCUCCUACAAAUUGAAUGAUCCGGUGAAAUGUUCGGAUCACGGCGACGUGGGUGGUGUAACACCCUGAUCCGGCCGACAAGGCCAUGGUCAAAGCCUUACAUCGCCU